GGAGGGGAAAAAGGCCCCAGCCCCCAUGUAUCUGCAAGAGAAAGCCGAAAAACCCUUCCAAAAUCCCCUGUCGCUACUGCCUAUAUAAAAAUAUUAGAGACCCCUCCCUCGGUAUCCUUAAGGGGGGGUGAUAGGCGAGGGCUUUGGCUUCGGUUGCGGCGUUGAUGCGGAGAGUGAGAAAGACAAGUGAAGACAACACUGGAAGCGGCCAGAAACAUGUAGAUGAAACCAAAAAAAUCUGAGGGGAGCGUGAUGUUCUAUUUUCCAAUAUAGUUUUCAAUCUGAAUUUCGAUGGCUGCUCGUGUUUCUUCUUCUUCUCCCUCUUCGCUUUCCCUUAAUCAACUUGGCCUUCCCUCAAUGCCUCCUUCCUGGACCUUGUGAUGUUUGGCUUUUCAUAGCUCUGAAGGUUAUGCUGGGCCCUAUGUCAGCUGCACAAUCAAGCCUCCCAACUCAUUGGAUUGGGUAUCUGGAUGAUAUCAAUAGCAGUGGGCAAAAUCAUCCACUAGAGAACUGCUUUGGACAACAAUUGCUUAUCAGGCAUGAAGUCUCAGUAAUCAUUUUUCUGCUGUUAAUUUUUUGAUGUAUUAAAUCAUAAGUCAUAGGUGUUUUGUGCUCCAAUGUUUAAUAUUAAUGACUUUGCCUUUGUUUUACUGUUUGGUUCCAUGCCUUUUUAUUAGCCUUUUGAUCACAUGGGAAAGGACAUCACCAGAUAUGCAAAUUGUCAUGGAGCACAUGUUCAUAUAUACAAUGAUGUUGGUAGCCUUCAAACUUGCAAAUUAAACUACCUACAGCCACCUAUGAAUCUCAACAAUUGCAUUCUUGUUUGUACAAUCUAAUUUUGGUUGCUACAUUCCUUUCAGUAUGGUGUGAGCUUGUGCUUCACCGCUUGAAGCUGUAGUGCUUUAUGCAUUUGGUCUUCAUUCUGCGAUGAAACUAUUAGCAUCUCAUAUGACUGUUUGAAAACUUGAUGUUAUACUUCCUAUGACUCCAUCAAAAUUUACGACUAGAAAUCUCUCUAUUAUAGUCACCAAAGGACCUUACCUUUCUUUCCUAUUGCCGCAACCUCCCUAUUGCUUUCAUUCACUCCUAUUGCUACUGUAGUUUGUAGUACUUUUUCAUAAUGAACCAUAUUGGUCUAUUUCACCAUUUUGAGUAACUUAGCCUCUAAUGAAAAACCUGACACCAAAAUCUUGCCUUAGCCUCUACUCCUGUCUAAAGUGCUCCAAGUUCUUACUAGAAAACAGCAUGAUGACAUCCAUGGUAGGCCGAGGAAAGCUGCAUGGAUUGACAAAAUUAUUCAAUCUGGGCUGGACUUUGUGUAUCUGGAUUGACAAAAUUUCUAUAUGCUUAAAUUCUAGUAUUGAGUGUCUUAUGGGACCCCUUCUCUAGCUUGAGCUUUUCAGUUUUUGUAAGGUUGCAUGCAGCCCCAUGUAGUUUAGGUUCUCUACUGGUUUUUUUAUCCAGGGAAAAGGAAUCAGAAAUACAUUAUGAAGAGUGCAAUUAUGUUGAUGUCAAUUGUAUGUUCUUUCUGACUAUGGAUUGUUUAUCUGCAUUGCAUCACGCCUAAGGUUCUUUUUGGAUAAUGUUAAAUAUGAAAUACUUUAUUA